rnacentral:piRNA from 2 species
GUAUUUAGACACACAGGAUUUGGGCUUCCC